rnacentral:rRNA from 1 species
GAUGAACGCUGGCGGCGUGCCUAAUACAUGCAAGUCGAGCGAACAGAUGAGGAGCUUGCUCCUCUGACGUUAGCGGCGGACGGGUGAGUAACACGUGGAUAACCUACCUAUAAGACUGGGAUAACUUCGGGAAACCGGAGCUAAUACCGGAUAAUAUAUUGAACCGCAUGGUUCAAUAGUGAAAGACGGUUUUGCUGUCACUUCUAGAUGGAUCCGCGCCGCAUUAGCUAGUUGGUAAGGUAACGGCUUACCAAGGCAACGAUGCGUAGCCGACCUGAGAGGGUGAUCGGCCACACUGGAACUGAGACACGGUCCAGACUCCUACGGGAGGCAGCAGUAGGGAAUCUUCCGCAAUGGGCGAAAGCCUGACGGAGCAACGCCGCGUGAGUGAUGAAGGUCUUCGGAUCGUAAAACUCUGUUAUUAGGGAAGAACAAAUGUGUAAGUAACUAUGCACGUCUUGACGGUACCUAAACAGAAAGCCACGGCUAACUACGU